rnacentral:rRNA from 1 species
CCUACGGGAGGCAGCAGUAGGGAAUCUUUCACAAUGGGCGAAAGCCUGAUGGAGCAACGCCGCGUGCAGGAUGAAGGCCUUCGGGUUGUAAACUGCUUUUAUAAGCGAGAAAUAUGAUGGUAACUUAUGAAUAAGGAUCGGCUAACUACGUGCCAGCAGCCGCGGUCAUACGUAGGAUCCGAGCAUUAUCCGGAGUGAAUGGGUUUAAAGAGUUGCGUAGGUGGCAUAAUAAGUAGCUAGUGAAAUCUGGUGGCUCAACCAUUCAGACUAUUAGCUAAACUGUUAAGCUCGAGACCGUUAGGGGUAACUGGAAUUUCUAGUGUAGGAGUGAAAUCCGUAGAUAUUAGAAGGAACACCAAUAGCGUAGGCAGGUUGCUGGGACGGUUCUGACACUAAGGCACGAAAGCGUAGGGAGCAAACGGGAUUAGAUACCCCGGUAGUC